UACGUAGGGUGCAAGCGUUGUCCGGAAUUAUUGGGCGUAAAGAGCUCGUAGGCGGUCUGUCACGUCGGCUGUGAAAACCCGGGGCUCAACCCCGGGCCUGCAGUCGAUACGGGCAGACUAGAGUGCGGUAGGGGAGACUGGAAUUCCUGGUGUAGCGGUGAAAUGCGCAGAUAUCAGGAGGAACACCGGUGGCGAAGGCGGCCUUCUGGACCAGUACUGACGCUCAUGCACGAAAGCGUGGGGAGCAAACAGG
rnacentral:rRNA from 1 species